UAGAAAAAAUACAAGAAAAUAUCUUAACAAUGUUAUUAUUUUCUUCCAUGACGCCUGAUUCUCCUGAGUUUGUUUUCUUUUUUUCUUCCCAUAGGCUUCUUCCCUUUUUCUUCCUUCUCCUCUCAU
rnacentral:ribozyme from 13 species